UGUGUCUCUGUGAAAUCCCAUACAUGAUCAUACAUUUUCUGUAAACAUUUAAACCUUUUCUUUCUCCACGGCUUAACCUGUGCAUACUCUAUCUCUUUACUGUAAAAACUUGCCAGAGCUUUCAUCUUAGCUCAAGGCAGCUCUAACUCAUACUAUGUUAAGCCGGGCUUUUCAUACAUAAACAUAAAUCAUUUACAUAAGAUCAUGUACAAACUUAAAGGGAUACAACUCUUAUCAAUCAAGCACCAUCUAUACACUGUACAUUUCCGUAUCUCUUACAUUUACAUGUCCAUACUAUCUAUUACAUACAUCUCUUUACGUUCUUCCUGUACUCUUCUUACAUCUCUCUGUACUCUGAACCUGCACAACUGGGGAUAGGGGAGAGGGGUGAGCUUCUAUAGCCCAGUGAGCAGGAGCUAUAUAAAACAGUUUAUAA
rnacentral:lncRNA from 1 species